ensembl:misc_RNA predicted gene, 27283
UAAGCCCUGCUCAGAAGUCAAGAGCAGCAGCGCCGCCGCUCCUAGCAGCCUUUCAUGCUGCAGCCGCUUCUUAUUCUUGUGUCUCGGCCUCUCUGGGAUCCCCGGGACAAAGCCCCCAGAACCGGAUCGCUCCCUUCCCGCUAAAUCCCCUUCGGGGUCAGUGCGUUACCAGCACAGGGCCGCACGCCUCUCCUGCUAGCCGUGUGGCUCUUAAAGAGCCCCACACCCCUCCGCCCCGCGCGCUCCGCCGACCCCCGUCACCCCUCCCCUCUCCUCCGUAUCUAGCCCCCCACGCCGACGCCUGAGGUCCCUGCUGCCCCGAC